rnacentral:rRNA from 1 species
CUACGGGGGGCACCAGUAGGGAAUCUUCGGCAAUGGACGGAAGUCUGACCGAGCAACGCCGCGUGAGUGAAGAAGGUUUUCGGAUCGUAAAGCUCUGUUGUAAGAGAAGAACGAGUGUGAGAGUGGAAAGUUCACACUGUGACGGUAUCUUACCAGAAAGGGACGGCUAACUACGUGCCAGCAGCCGCGGUAAUACGUAGGUCCCGAGCGUUGUCCGGAUUUAUUGGGCGUAAAGCGAGCGCAGGCGGUUAGAUAAGUCUGAAGUUAAAGGCUGUGGCUUAACCAUAGUACGCUUUGGCAACUGUUUAACUUGAGUGCAGAAGGGGAGAGUGGAAUUCCAUGUGUAGCGGUGAAAUGCGUAGAUAUAUGGAGGAACACCGGUGGCGAAAGCGGCUCUCUGGUCUGUAACUGACGCUGAGGCUCGAAAGCGUGGGGAGCAAACAGGAUUAGAUACCCUAGUAGUC